AUUGAACGCUGGCGGCAUGCUUUACACAUGCAAGUCGAACGGUAACAGGCCUUCGGGUGCUGACGAAUGGCGAACGGGUGAGUAAUGCAUCGGAACGUACCCAGAGGUGGGGGAUAACGCAGCGAAAGCUGUGCUAAUACCUCAUGUGAUCUGAGGAUGAAAGCGGGGGACCGAGCAGCAAUGUUUGGCCUCGCGCCUUUCGAGCGGCCGAUGUCGGAUUAGCUAGUUGGUUGGGUAAAGGCCUACCAAGGCGACGAUCCGUAGCUGGUCUGAGAGGACGACCAGCCACACUGGGACUGAGACACGGCCCAGACUCCUACGGGAGGCAGCAGUGGGGAAUUUUGGACAAUGGGCGCAAGCCUGAUCCAGCAAUGCCGCGUGCGGGAAGAAGGCCUUCGGGUUGUAAACCGCUUUUGGCAGGAACGAAACGGUGUCCGCUAAUACCGGGCGCUAAUGACGGUACCUGCAGAAUAAGCACCGGCUAACUACGUG
rnacentral:rRNA from 1 species